rnacentral:rRNA from 1 species
AACGAACGCUGGCGGCAGGCCUAAUACAUGCAAGUCGAACGCUGUAGCAAUACAGAGUGGCAGACGGGUGAGUAACGCGUGGGAAUCUUCCUUGCAGUACGGAAUAACUCCGGGAAACCGGUGCUAAUACCGUAUACGUCCUUCGGGAGAAAGAUUUAUCGCUGCAAGAUGAGCCCGCGUCGGAUUAGCUAGUUGGUGGGGUAAAGGCCUACCAAGGCUACGAUCCGUAGCUGGUCUGAGAGGAUGAUCAGCCACACUGGGACUGAGACACGGCCCAGACUCCUACGGGAGGCAGCAGUAGGGAAUAUUGGACAAUGGGCGCAAGCCUGAUCCAGCCAUGCCGCGUGAGUGAAGAAGGCCUUGGGGUUGUAAAGCUCUUUUGGCGGGGAAGAUAAUGACGGUACCCGCAGAAUAAGCUCCGGCUAACUUCGUGCCAGCCGCCGCGGUAA